rnacentral:rRNA from 1 species
UGAAGAGUUUGAUCCUGGCUCAGAUUGAACGCUGGCGGCAUGCCUUACACAUGCAAGUCGAACGGCAGCACGGGUGCUUGCACCUGGUGGCGAGUGGCGAACGGGUGAGUAGAGCAUCGGAACAUGCCCAGAUAUGGGGGAUAGCCCGGCGAAAGCCGGAUUAAUACCGCAUAAUGCCUGAGGGAGAAAGCGGGGGACUCGUAAGGGCCUCGCGUAUUUGGAGUGGCCGAUGUCGGAUUAGCUGGUUGGUGGGGUAAAGGCCUACCAAGGCGACGAUCCGUAGCGGGUCUGAGAGGACGAUCCGCCACACUGGAACUGAGACACGGUCCAGACUCCUACGGGAGGCAGCAGUGGGGAAUUUUGGACAAUGGGGGCAACCCUGAUCCAGCCAUGCCGCGUGAGUGAAGAAGGCCUUCGGGUUGUAAAGCUCUUUCGGUGGGGAAGAAAUGGUCGUGGUAAAUAAUCGCGAUUGAUGACGGUACCCAAAUAAGAAGCACCGGCUAACUACGUGCCAGCAGCCGCGGUAAUACGUAGGGUGCGAGCGUUAAUCGGAAUUACUGGGCGUAAAGGGUGCGCAGGCGGCCUUGUAAGACAAGCGUGAAAUCCCUAGGCUCAACCUGGGAAUGGCGCUAGUGACUGCAAAGCUGGAGUACGGCAGAGGGAGGUAGAAUUCCACGUGUAGCAGUGAAAUGCGUAGAGAUGUGGAGGAAUACCGAUGGCGAAGGCAGCCUCCUGGGCUGAUACUGACGCUCAAGCACGAAAGCGUGGGGAGCAAACAGGAUUAGAUACCCUGGUAGUCCACGCCCUAAACGAUGUCAACUAGUUGUUGGCAGGGUAAAACCUGUAAGUAACGAAGCAAACGCGAGAAGUUGACCGCCUGGGGAGUACGGCCGCAAGGUUAAAACUCAAAGGAAUUGACGGGGACCCGCACAAGCGGUGGAUGAUGUGGAUUAAUUCGAUGCAACGCGAAAAACCUUACCUACCCUUGACAUGUCCGAGAUCUCUGAGAGAUUGGGGAGUGCCGCAAGGAAUCGGAACACAGGUGCUGCAUGGCUGUCGUCAGCUCGUGUCGUGAGAUGUUGGGUUAAGUCCCGCAACGAGCGCAACCCUUGUUGCUAAUUGCCAUCAUUAAGUUGGGCACUUUAGCGAGACUGCCGGUGACAAACCGGAGGAAGGUGGGGAUGACGUCAAGUCCUCAUGGCCCUUAUGGGUAGGGCUUCACACGUCAUACAAUGGUCGGUACAGAGGGAAGCGAAAUUGCGAGAUGGAGCGAAUCCUUGAAAAGCCGAUCGUAGUCCGGAUUGGAGUCUGCAACUCGACUCCAUGAAGUCGGAAUCGCUAGUAAUCGCGGAUCAGCAUGUCGCGGUGAAUACGUUCCCGGGUCUUGUACACACCGCCCGUCACACCAUGGGAGUGGGUUUCACCAGAAGCGGGCAGCCUAACCGCAAGGAGGGCGCUUGCCACGGUGGGAUUCAUGACUGGGGUGAAGUCGUAACAAGGUAGCCGUAUCGGAAGGUGCGGCUGGAUCACCUCCUUU